CUCUGUAGAGCAGGCUGACCUUGAACUCGGAGAUCCCUGUGCCUCUACCUCCCAAGCACUGGGAUUAAAUGCAUGUACCACCAUUGCCCAGUAAAAAUCCCAGAAUUUACUGUAAUAAAGCAAGAAGUUUAAAUCUUUAAAAAUAAAUGACCAUUGUUAAUGUUUUGUAUAUUUUUAACUUUUGUGCUUACUCUUCCUCUGAUAAUCAAUGGUCUUCUGGAAAUCCUCUCUGUUAUGGCCACUAUGCUAUACGAUAUAAAGGUAUUAUUUUAUUCCAAGCUUCUAAUGCAUAGUUAGUAAUGAAUCGAUAUCAGCUUGACAUGAAAUUAUGGCUGUCUGUGUCCAGGAUUUUUUCUGCUAUCAGGUAUAUGGAAAUCUGUAUUAAGAUUUACUGAAGCCAUACACAAUGCCUUUCCAUAUCUAGCCAACUACAGAGCACAGCCAAAGGUGUGGCAUGGGGCCCCAGGGGCUCCAGUAAAAGUAUCAGUAUGUCAUACAGAGAAUUGUAGUUUUCCUUCUAUGACUCACUACAGCUAAAAAUGAUAAUGGUCCAACUUGUACUAGCAAAUGAUUUAAUAAGUUUACAGCUGGGUGGUGGUGUCACACACCUUUAAUCCCAGUACUUGGGGAAGGUGGUAGCGGGCAGAUCUCUUGAGUUUGAGCCCAGCCUGGUCUACACAUCAAGUUCCAGGUCAGACAAGGCUAUACAGAAGAACCUGUCUUCGGAAAAAAAAGUUUUUAUAAAGUAUUAACUCAUGUUACUAAAAUCUCUUACAGUGUACAUGGUAAAGCUAUUAUUGAACACCAUAAAUAGUUAAUUGGCAAAUUUUUAAAAUUAAAAAGGAAGCAUAUGUGGCUGCACACACAUCUAUCCCCACAUACUACGCUGUAUUUAGUUAUGCUGUAGGGGAAAACGUGCAUGCGUACACAGAUAUGCCCUAGAGAAGCCAGGAGAGUUAGACAUGCUGGAGACGUAUAACUUGUCUUCUGGAUAUCUGGGAAAGAGUGUAGUUUACAAUCUGGGAUCCUUUGUAUCUGUCAGGCCUGACCUACAUCCUUCAGAGUAUUAUGUUUGAGUAUCCCAGAGUUUUCUCUCUGAAUCAUUGCUUCUCAUUCCCUAAAACCCAUCAUUAUGAGACCCGUCAAUUAUACUUUACCCUAGCCUAAGUGACUUCUGUGUUAUCUCAGGGCCAAGCCAAUCCUGACUCCCAUAGGCAUUGUGGUUACCAUAGUCCUCCUCCCUAGACUUUUAUCAUGUUUCCAAGUCAACAGUAUCCAUUUUUUUUUUCCUUUUUCUUUUUUUCGGAGCUGGGAACCGAACCCAGGGCCUUGCGUUUGCUAGGCAAGCGCUCUACGACUGAGCUAAAUCCCCAACCCCAAACAGUAUCCAUUUUUAAUGGAAGAAGCCAUGUGUACUUUGCAAAGAGUUUCUAUGGAAACAUGUCUUAAACUUUAUUGUACAUGUGGGACUGAGUUAAUUAUCUUCAGGAAACUUUUCCCCAAAUUGUGCUGUGAUUUAUAUAGCUAAAAGAAACCACCAUGGGCAAAUGCCAAGUUUGGCCCAGAACCUGCUGUGUUGGGCUAGACCUACUAAGAAAGAGCUGCUGAGUUUCAGUCUUACCUACAUUGUGUCACUGCUGUCUGUGACAUCCUCACAGUCCCCAGGUUGCACUUUAAAAAAUAAUGCCUUUUCUCCUGCCCAAAGCAUUUUUCCCUAAAGGAGACAUAUGUUAGAUGAGGUCUUGGGACUAAUCAAUGGAAAGGGCCUGCCUGAUAAAUGAAAUCUCAAGAUGAUUCCCACUUUAAUGCAUCUGACCAGGGCAGUAUCUCAGAGUCCUCCAGACAACUGAAAAGUCCUGAAAUAGACAGCAACAACAACAACAACACCUCAUCAGGAAGAAAUGCCUGCAGAGUAUGCCUUUUAGAGGCUGACCCCAAAAUGAUGAUCACUAACUUUAUUGCAUGUUAACUCUCAGCUUGCAGUGCAGAAUCCCAAUGCUGUUUGUCAGGGGGUGUCAGAACACCAUCUAAGAUUGGAGUCUGAGGAGACGUCACAGAAUCGUUUGUGGAUUAUGCUUUCUUGCCCCUUUCCAGCAUAGGGAUAGGAAUGCGCUUACCUCAGAUCAUUCUUACAGCUGGCUGUUACUAUUUGUUCCAUGUGUGGCUUGUCCUUGUGAUUGUACACUCAUGUGACUUAACCUCAGAGUGUAAACUGCCUACUACUUUGUAUAGAGUUGGAUAUUGCAUGAGAAUCGCCUCAUUUUUAGGGUCUAUAGACUCUUCCGGGUCCCACUGCCUUUAGCAUGGUAAACAAGUAGGGACCUGAAGUCAGCUAUGAGAUGAGAGGGUCGGACCCUCACAAGGAGGUGAGAAUAAUGGGACAGAAGCCACAGAACCCUUUUCUUUGUAUUGAACGUGUGCAUUGUAUUUUAAAGAAUAUGGAAGAGCACAGUAUUUAAAUCACAGCUAUUCAAUUGCUUCCAAGUUGUUUGUGAUUAUAAGCCCUGGACUCCAGAAGAGACUGUAUGAAGUAUGGGACAGAAAUCUAAAGGAAUGUUGAAAAGGCAUAUAAACUAGGAGAAAAGUUCCCCAUUCAGUUGGCUCACUUGAGCAUUAAUUCAGACUGUUAUCAAAAUGUUUAAGAAAGGUAAGGACAGUAUUAAUCAAGAGGGAGGAGAUGGCUAAUUCCUUGAACGAGUAUAAACUGAAUGGUCAAACCUUAGAAUUGUAAAAGAAAAAAAUGACAUCUUCCCUGUUUAGGCAAAAUUGAAAAUAAUAGCAGCCUGCUUUGAUAGUUAUUCCCGUGACAACUUUAUGCACACCCUCACUCCCCAAGGAGGCUUUCUUUGUAUAGCCCUCUAGUCUAGGUUGUAUAGCCCUCUAGUCUAGGUUGGCCUCCAACUCAGGAAUACCUCUGUAUCUGUUUUCCGGUGUUCUGUGGUUAAAGGUGUGUGCCACCACAACCAGGUCCCUCAGUCUCCUUAUUAGAGCCUCCUUAGAUAAGUAUCCUUCAUUGUCUGAAAUGACCCUGAAGCAUGGAGUGAGGAAUUUGAUAAUCUAAUCUUAAAUAUAUCCAACUCCUGGUAAGGAUUCAGGGGAGCAUGUGAAAGCUAAGUUUAUAAGUUUACAAUCUAGACAAGCUAGGGUAUGAAGUUUGUUUCCCAGUUCUUCCCUUGCCUCAUAAGCUGCACUUGGUAUUUCCUAUACACUAGCCAGUCUAUUUAAAACUCCAGAAGGAAAGUCAGCCUUGCAUAGUCUCCACAUACUAUCUCAAGAGGCAAGAACAAUUGUGUGGAUUUGACCAUUGCUGUAUUAUAUUACCCCUAUUAACAAUCAGUGUUUAAGAGUAUCAUAGAACUCUAUGGAUUUUCAAAUUUCAUUCGCAGGUACUACUGAAUUUAUGAUUCCAAAGAUUAUCUAACUUUCCUCCCAUUCAGAUACUUAUUUAUUUAUGGUUCAUCUAAGUGUAUAGGAGAGAUAGUCAUCAGUCUAUCAAUGUUUUUCCCUCAGCUUAACAGGUGGAACUAACUGCUUUGAUUCAUAAGCUCUUAAAUAUUUCAGAUUUUGCUUAUGUUGUAGGAUUAUUUCUAGCAAUAGGCUCAUACUCCUGGACACACUAACCUUUUUGGUUUUAUUGGAGAAAGAAACAAACAAGCUGAUAACAUUAUCCUCUGCCCUAUUAUUAACUUCGCCGGAAGACGAACAAGUGUGCGUCUGUUAUUGAGGAUGGUUCCACUGAAACAUUGUAGAUUCCCCUUUGCCUUCUCUGGCCUUGGCUGUCAAAGAGGAGGCAGAGGUGGGGGAAGCAGUGAAAGUUACUAGAGAGAUAGCAGAUCUAGCUAAAGGGCAAAAGGAGAUAUCAACCUUAUCAGAAGUCAUCUGGGAACAAAGUUUUAAGGCUCAAGUGUGCCAAAGGAGAAAUUAUUCUAUGAAACACACACAGAGCCCUGGGUCACCAGAGAAUCUUCUUUCUGGCAGUGCUAGUUACUUUGAUCUGUACGUCUGUGGAGAGUGUCUCUGAACAUGUCUUUAGAUCUAAUGUUUCUCAUCUUCUUUCUUCAACUUGUAAUUGGACAGAUUCAGUUCCUAUUAUGUUCACUAAUAAUUUCGUAUUUAUGACUGGACCUUGGGACAGUAUUAGAAUCAUUAAGUCUUCUAAAGAAGGGACAGUGUUGGGGUUGGGGAUUUAGCUCAGCGGUAGAGCACUUGCCUAGCAAGCGCAAGGCCCUGGGUUCGGUCCCCAGCACCAAAAAAAAGAAAAAAGAAAGAAAAGAAAAAAAAAAGAAGGGACAUUGUUUAAUUUUUAUAUGGGAUUUUAUAUGGGAAGUGGGAUCACUUCCCACUUGAAUAGGACAUCAUAACAUUUAUAUUCCUAUUAAAGGCAUAUAUAGACUUAAGUUUUAGAAGAUACCAGACUACUAAUCAUAUGGGUCUCUUUUUCAAGCUAUUGUAUUAUAUUGAUUUUUCUGAUCAGUAUAAACAUAGUUUGGUGGCAGAGUAUUAUACACCGUACUUUCAUGAAUCAAGUGACAAUUAGAUUUACUUACAUCUCAAAACCACUAUGCAUAUCCCAUUAUUAAAAAAUAAAAAGGGGGAGAUGUGGGGACAUGAUCCAAGAAUGGAGUAUCUAAGAUUUCUGAGUGCUUGUAAGAACACUCCAAGAAAACAAAGACAAGAGUCUUGUGACCUCAGAUUCUUCAAAAACAUGGGCUUGUUCUUGGAUUAUGCUUUCAAGCCCUUCCCAGGUGUAGUGGAUACAUAGGAGUGAAUUUAUAUUAUUUAGAUUAUUUAUUAAAUUUAGGUUACUUAUUAAAACUGGCUAUUGUUACUUGUUUAUAUACGUCUUUAGAAAACAUUCUUACCAUGUAAGACUUCUCUGUCACAUGUGGCUUGCUCAUGUGAUUGAACACUUUAAUCAUGUGACUCCUCUUAACUCUCUAAGUAUAAAUUGUCAGAUGCUUUGAAUAAAGUUGGUUAUUGCAUUAGACUUUAGUCUACCUCAUUUAUUGACUUCCUUCUCCCAGGUCCCACAGUCUCCAUAGCCAUUAACAAAGAAUGGAGGGGGAUAAAAGCACACCUGAAAUAGGAAACAGUAUAAUGUUGUUUUGCCAUGCUAAGGAUUGUCUUUUUCCUUUUGGAUCAGUUAUCUGGAUAAAAGACGGUAUAUAUGAAUAUUUAAUCACUUGAAUGGAGGGUAUUUUGUGAGACUAAUCAGUCCAGACACAAUAUGGAUUUUAGCAUAAUUAAGGCUUCUUAAAAGUUCUAAUAAUGGAAACAGUAAUUGUAUAUAGAUGCAAAAGGGAAUACCUGAUGGUAUUGUUUACUAAAGUUGAUAUCAUUGUACCUAGAAUAAUGAUGUUACCAGUGGUUUAGAAAAAUAAGCUCUGGGGUUGGGGAUUUAGCUGAGUGGUAGAGCACUUGCCUAGCACGUCAAGGCCCUGGGUUCGGUCCCCAGCUCUGAAAAAAAAAAAA
rnacentral:sRNA from 1 species